GCCGUCGGUGCAGAUCUUGGUGGU
rnacentral:siRNA from 1 species